rnacentral:lncRNA from 1 species
UGUUCACCUAGGCAACAGGGGAGCUGUGCCAGUGAAAGGGGUACUGGAAGAAGAAGAAUGCCUGUUCUUAUCCCAUCUUCACUAAAAGAGAUUUGCUGAAGGAACUAAAAAGAAGAAAGAGCUAGCAUCUACUGCCUGGCCGUUCUUAUGUUUCUGACACCUACCAGUCACUGGCAUUUAGAUAUGUUUCCAGACACUUGGCAAUCUCCUGAGCUUCUAAAUUGGAGUGGUCAUGUUCUCCAUUGCCCUGAUUGUUCGUUGGGAAUCAGUGGAGGAUUUUGCCUGAUAUCCAUUUGCAUUAGGUAAGGGCACAUUUAGAGUGCACUUUUAUUCUCUU